AUGACAUGUCGAGGUGUUGGACCAAUCUCCCUUGGGGUCUUCCAAUCCCAAUUGAAGCAAGUGUCGCUCUUGAUUUGUGUUGUGGUGUUGGGGUGUUGGGAGUUUGGUUUGCAUGGCAUGAAUAUUAUGACAGCCGGAACUACAUAGUUGGCUGAUUGGUUGCAAAAGUUUCCCAGACUCGAAGAAAGGAUCACCAAAGGUUACUUGGUGAUUGAUUUUCCUUACAGAAAAGUUUCUUUUUAGCGUGCUUAGCGUGUUCCGUGCCACUGUGGCUGGUCCCGGACUUGCGUACGGAUGCGUUGCCUCUGCCCACAGCUUGC
rnacentral:lncRNA from 1 species